UCUCUCUUCUAUUCAAUUUCUCUCUCUCUCUUCUAUUCACUCUCUCUCUCUCCUAUUCACUCUUUUUUAUUGUUUUACCAGACAUGCCUAUAUAUUUUUUUUAUUAAAAAACAAAAAUCUUGAAAAUAUCACGUAGUCAAAUUUCCCCUUUUUUUUUUUUAAACUAAAGGUCAGAAUUCGUUUUUUCUACCUUGUCUUGUUGAAAAGGGAAACCGAUAUGCUUUUUCUUCUGUAUACAUAUUAUAUAAAUAAAUAAAAUACAUCUUAUGAUAUGUUGCGUUCAAUAUGCGGAAAACCCGGUUAAAUUAUAAAAUUCGGGUAUAAAUCCACAAGUCUUGCGGUAGGCUCGAAAAAUUCGAUGAUCUGGCAGCGCAGCUAUCUAUAUAGUAAAAACUGGGUGUCAAUUAUUCAGAGGUGUUGUGGAAUCCAAGACAGAUGUGCGUAGUUGUCAGAAUUAGAAACCAAUUCUGAUUCUCAAUGGUGUCACAGAAUCUGAUUGGAUUUUUGUCUUUUCAAACAUACGCAAAGCCGAUAUUCGAAUCAGCUGUUUAAAUAAAUUUGGAAGCGUUUGAUAAAUUUAAAAUACUGAAUAAAGUACAUUAAAAUUUACAGUGACUUCCGCUAUUUUAGCUUUUACUUUAUUAAAAAAAAUAAAUUAAUAUGAAGAUAUUAAGAGAUCACAGUAAUCCAGUUGAUGCACCAAAGGAAUCGCAUGUGAAAUUUGGGUUGCAUUUAUUUAUAUGCUUAUAUAUAAUACAUACUUACUUUACAGAUUUAUCAGGCGUGUUUCGAACAACAGCAAAUCGUUUUGUCGCCCUGUUCUGGAAAUCGGAUUCGUAACAAUUUUAUCUUUUCGAAUUCAGCAAGUUAAACGAUAGCGAUUUAAAUCAACGGUUUUUUCAAGUAACAUUUAUUUCUUUACAAGAAAUAAUCCAUAUUGAAUUUAUGGAAACGUAUUCCGAUUUAGCAUGCAAUUUUUCUAAACGAGAUAGAGUGGCAGUAGAAGAAACAUGGAAGGAGCUAGCCACGUUGCUGAAUGCAGAAGGACCACACCAGAAAAACUGAUGAAACUAUAAAAAAUAUAUGGUUUGACUGGAUUCGCAAAAAGGUUGCGCGUAACAAUUUAGAAGCAAGAGCGAUUGGCGGUGGACCCUUCAACAAGCAUAUAUUAACGAAUAGCGAAGAAUGUGUUGCAAGGAUCUGUGGAAUUUUCGCGACCGUUGAGGGCAUUUCAAAUUCUCGAAGUUUUGGGGCAGUAACAAGUUUCUGUAUUAGCGAAUCAGAGGAAGAACCUCUACAAACAAGCAGGGAAACCGUGGUUACCCUACGAGCCGCAAAACGACUACGAGUUUCCGAAAAUCGGGACUCCCUCCUAACGUACAUGACACACAAUCAAAUGGUAUGGGAAAAAUUUCCAUAACCUUUACUGAUUUAGUGAGUGCCAGCAACAAUUGAUGCAAUAUUAAGAAGAAGCGAAUAAUAUUCAACGGCUUUGCCGGACAGUUGAAAAACAAAAUAAUUUAUUAGCAGAACAAAAUCGCCUAAAAUCUCAAAGUUUAGAGGAACAGUAAAGGCAUCACCUUAGAAAACACGAAAAAGUUAAAAUAAAAAUGAAAAUGCUAGAGAAUGAAUUAACAUAAUAAAUACGCACCAUUUAACUACACA